ACAAUCCUUGAGGCUGGAAACCUAACAUAAGUAGUUGCUCAAUGAAUUCUGUUGAAUGUAUGAACUAAGGUUGUCAGCAACAGAUAUUAUCUCUGAGACUGGAUCAGCCAUCCAGCAGAGGACCAGACAUGGAGACAGCUCUGCUUUUGUUUACUGAAGACGACAAUUCCUCAGUGGCCGCAUUUUCUCCUGCAUCUUGACCACAGAGCCCGAGAUUCCUGAGACAGUAAAGGAUUUCAAAGACGACCCAGUCCAAAGGUAGAAACUGUACGGCAUAUCGUCUGACAUGAGUGUCCACACCUUCACAAUGUGUGGCUAAUUAGGUACCUAAUCUGGAUUCAGCUUCAGAAUCCUUCCCAACACAAUCAUCACACAAUCUCUUCCAAGCAAUCAGAAUAAACUCACAAGAAGAAUCUUAUUGACCAGAAGGAGAUUAUCGAAAGCAGAGACACAGAAAGAAUGAAAAAGGCUAAGAUAGACAACCCUAAGAUCUGCCAUCAAAAUGGAGGAAAAUAAGAUCCCCAUUCAUAAUACUGUUUAAAGUGGAUAUGAUGUACUUUAUGGUAGUAACAUUCAAUUCAUGGAACUGAGUGACACCAGGCAAGCUAUUUCAUCUCUAGAAAAUUAGCUGUGAGAAUUAGCUGAGAAAAGAUCUAUAUUGUUUCCAGUUCUAUUCUCCUUCUCCUUGCUCAAAGAUGGCCUUCUGUUGUCGCCUGGGGGCAAAUCUUGCAUGAUUUCUAACCCAUCUGUUUUUGAAUUAGUACGCUUUUAAAAUCCUCCUGAAGAUGGCAGGAGUUUAGGCAGUGAAUGAGUCAUCAAAAGAAUAAGAUUUUUCCUCCAUUUUUGUCUAAAGGAAGGCAGUUACAUUUGGGUCAAAUAAGUCAUCUUUAACCAUGAAAGAGGAGGAAGGGGA